UCAUCACGACCUGGAAUUCGUGAGUGUUACGACUUUGAGUCGUAUCUUUUACCAAGGUUAAGGCCCUUGGUGAAUAAGUGGUGGGCAAGACGAGUGCCAGCCGCCGCGGUAAUACUCGCGCCACGAGUGGUGACCACGAUUAUUUGGCCUAAAGUGUCCGUAGCUGGUUCGAUAAGUCUCCGGUGAAAUCUCAUAGUUGACUAUGAGGCGUGCUGGGGAUACUGACGAACUUGGGACCGGGAAAGGGCAGAGGUAUUUUUAGGGUAGGGGUAAAAUCCUAUAAUCCUAAAAGGACCACCAGUGGCGAAGGCGUCUGCCUGGAACGGAUCCGACAGUGAUGGACGAAAGCUAGGGGAGCGAUCGGGAUUAGAUACCCCAGUAGUCCUAGCCGUAAACGAUGCAAACUUGGUGUUGCCAGUUCUAUAGGAACAGGCAGUGCCGUAGCGUAGGUGUUAAGUUUGCCGCCUGGGGAGUACGGCCGCAAGGCUGAAACUUAAAGGAAUUGGCG
rnacentral:rRNA from 1 species